rnacentral:rRNA from 1 species
GACGUAGGGCGCGAGCGUUGUCCGGAUUUAUUGGGCGUAAAGAGCUCGUAGGCGGCUUGUUGCGUCGACCGUGAAAACCCGGGGCUCAACUUCGGGACUUGCGGUCGAUACGGGCGGGCUAGAGUUCGGUAGGGGAGACUGGAAUUCCUGGUGUAGCGGUGAAAUGCGCAGAUAUCAGGAGGAACACCGGUGGCGUAAGGCGGGUCUCUGGGCCGAUACUGACGCUGAGGAGCGAAAGCGUGGGGAGCGAACAGG